GUUCUAGUUCUGCCUGAGGUAUGGCCUACACUACUGACUCUGAGGCGAAGUUUGCAGCCAAAGAGAGGGUUUAUCCUCCAAAAAGCCAAGCAAGAAGACAGGAAGACAAACCUCAAAUCUGCUUUCCUGGAAGGCCAGGGGCUGCAGUAUUUCUGGGAUAAGGAACAAAGUAGUAAGCACUCUGUGGAGCGAGGAAUCGUCAAGCCGUGACUGGAAAAAAAAAGUGGCUUUUUUGUUUUUUUUUGGUGCAGGCUCCUGAGGCUACGGGUUCCUGCAGGGAUCAAAACAUCGCCCAGCGGGCAUGCGCCUGCGCAGUGGAGGGUGGGUGGGCCUAUCCAGUGUUAACCCACUCAGCUCCAACAAGGCACAGGUGAGUCCAAGUUUCUAGACGAUUCGGGCAAACGUUGUUUAGGUUACUUGCCCCUAGAAGCAUGUGCAAGUUGCAAAUGACCUUGAUUAGUGAAGGACCUGUUUUCAACUGGAGUUGCUGAGGCCGGGCAGAAUGUACCCCAAUAUUUUAAUUUCUUCCCAUCCUACCAGGAGGAACCCCGCACCCUCUCCUCCACCACAGCGUUUGCCACUGUCAUAGUCUGCUUUCUGCCCCAAGACUGUCUUCCUUAGGGGCUAAGGUUCAAGUUCCAGCAACAUUUCCUGGGUGCUCGCUGGUUCCCACCGCCAUGCUCCUCCUCCACAGCCCUGAGAGACAUCGUCCUCCCCGUCCCAGAGAUGACGCGGAACAGGUCCCAACGCCGACGCACAGCAGGUGCCAGGCCAGGAGGAAAAGACAAAUGGCUUGGUGAACGAUCCCCUAUAUCCACCUAUAUGUGUGGCCAGCAUGGCUGCUGUGCCCUCUCCAGUCAGCCCCGGUUGGGGCAACAGCUACUGAAAAUAAAAGUGAUUCCUCU
rnacentral:lncRNA from 1 species